UUUCCAGAGAUGAGAUUCUUCCG
rnacentral:snRNA from 1 species